UUGAAAGGAACCUUUCAAGAUCAUCUUGUCCAACUCCUUGCUAAAACAGGUUCCAUAUAGUAGGUUACAAGGGAAAGCAUCCAGGCAUGUUUCGACUAUCUCCAGAGAAGGAGACUCCAUAACAUCUCUGGGCAGCCUGUUCCAGUAUUCUGUCACUGUUCAAGAUGGGAACAAAAGGAAGAAAGUGAAAAAAAGAAUCAAACAUGCUUAAAAUAAUUAGUCACACAAAGG